rnacentral:pre_miRNA from 1 species
AGCAGAAUUGCUGGGUCAGAUGGUAAUUCAAUAAGUGACCUUUUGAGAAAUUGCCAAACUGUUUUUCAAAAUGGCUACUUCCUUUUACAUUCCCAUUAACAAU